GACAUCAAACUGAGCAUCCUACCCUUUCUAAUGACAACCAACAACAACUUUGGAACCCCCCUGCCUCUCCCUUUGUCAAAGUCAACGUGGAUGCAUCAUGGAAUCCAAACUCAAAGAGGGUUGGCAUUGGUAUCCUAAUUAGGAACACUCAUGGAGACUUUAUCAAGGGUUCAUCCAUCCCAUCUGUGGCGAACUCUGCUAUUGAGGCUGAGGCACAGGCUUGUCUUGAAGGCUGUAAGCUCGCUGCUGAGAUGGGUUAUCGUCAAGUAACUUUUGAAUCUGAUUGCAAGGAAGUAAUCUCUUCUUUGAAGGGCCCCUUAUCCAAUGGAAGGUGGGAAAUCUAUCCUAUGCUAAGUACUGUUCGAGAUGUUUUGAACUGCUUCCAGACCUACGUUUGAACGUGGAUUCCUAGAACCGCCAACCAAGCGGCAGAUCAUUUGGCAAUGCUUGCCAUUUCGAGGAUGAGCCCGGAAGUAUGGGUCAACCGACCCCCAUCCUCUCUAAUGCAUAUCCUGAACAAAGAUGGUUUACCAUGCCCCCCAAGGAGUGCUUAAGGUUUGCGGAUGUGUGGGCUUCUCGACGUAUCCGGUUGUCUUAUGACUACGUCUUUUUAUUAGUCCUCCUUCCAUGCAGCUGUGAUGUUUUAUUUCUUGUUGUUCGUUGUGCCUAGCUGCUUUAUAGGUUGUGUACUUCUCUUGGCUGUUUGCCUUUUUAUGAAAAUUCCAUAUUUCAGACCAAAAAAGAAAGGUUUUAGGGGGUGUUAAUUCGAAAACAACUUCGUUCUUUGUCGAAAAUUUCUUCUUCCUUCUCGACUCGACGCUCAGCUCUCUCAGCCAGCUAGCCACGUCAGGUCAGCCUCUAACUCUCUCUCUCUCUCUCUCUCUCUCUCUCUCUCUCUCUCUCAUUUCGAUACCCUCAGUCUUAGCCUGUCAAUCUCAAAUCUUGGCGUCAACCACUUUGAAUCUUGAAGCGUGUGUUCGCUGUCAUCUCAGUCUCAGAUAAACCUCCUCUUCCUCAACCGACCCGCUCCCUCUGCUGCUCCUGAGAAAGAGAAGGGGAAGGAAGAAUACAAGGAUAUCUGAUAUUCCAAAUGUGCAACCAACUAAUGGGUCUUGUGCACGCCUUCGCUUCCCUUUUUUUGACGAAUUUCUGAGCAUA